AUGAACGCUGGCGGCGUGCCUAAUACAUGCAAGUCGAGCAAACAGACGAGGAGCUUGCUCCUCUGACGUUAGCGGCGGACGGGUGAGUAACACGUGGAUAACCUACCUAUAAGACUGGGAUAACUUCGGGAAACCGGAGCUAAUACCGGAUAAUAUAUUGAACCGCAUGGUUCAAUAGUGAAAGACGGUUUUGCUGUCACUUAUAGAUGGAUCCGCGCCGCAUUAGCUAGUUGGUAAGGUAACGGCUUACCAAGGCGACGAUGCGUAGCCGACCUGAGAGGGUGAUCGGCCACACUGGAACUGAGACACGGUCCAGACUCCUACGGGAGGCAGCAGUAGGGAAUCUUCCGCAAUGGGCGAAAGCCUGACGGAGCAACGCCGCGUGAGUGAUGAAGGUCUUCGGAUCGUAAAACUCUGUUAUUAGGGAAGAACAAAUGUGUAAGUAACUAUGCACGUCUUGACGGUACCUAAUCAGAAAGCCACGGCUAACUACGUG
rnacentral:rRNA from 1 species